GUCAAAAGAUGCUUCGGGAAUGAAGUGGGCUCUGCCAGCCGCCGGGUUGGCCCUCGUCGCCGUCAUAGUCAUCAUCGGCGUUUUGAUGUUAACGACGCAAGGCGGUCCGACUGAAGCCGGGAAGCUGGUGAGCAGGCCGGCAGCCGGAGGCGGCGGAGGUGACAAGCCCACGCCCGGGCCUACCGUGGAGGUUGCAGGUCCGGUGCCCUCUGGAGUGACCUCGGAUGAUG